rnacentral:rRNA from 1 species
GACGAACGCUGGCGGCGUGCCUAAUACAUGCAAGUCGAACGAGAGCGACCGGUGCUUGCACUGGUCAAUCUAGUGGCGAACGGGUGAGUAACACGUGGGUAACCUGCCCAUCAGAGGGGGAUAACAUCCGGAAACGGAUGCUAAAACCGCAUAGGUCUUCGAGCCGCAUGGCUUGAAGAGGAAAAGAGGCGCAAGCUUCUGCUGAUGGAUGGACCCGCGGUGCAUUAGCUAGUUGGUGAGGUAACGGCUCACCAAGGCCGUGAUGCAUAGCCGACCUGAGAGGGUGAUCGGCCACAUUGGGACUGAGACACGGCCCAAACUCCUACGGGAGGCAGCAGUAGGGAAUCUUCCGCAAUGGACGCAAGUAUGACGGAGCAACGCCGCGUGAGUGAAGAAGGUUUUCGGAUCGUAAAACUCUGUUGUUAGAGAAGAACAAGUGCUAGAGUAACUGUUAGCGCCUUGACGGUAUCUAACCAGAAAGCCACGGCUAACUACGUG